rnacentral:sRNA from 1 species
UAGACAGUCAUGUUGCAAAGCCAUCGACUGGACAUCAUCCUUCAAGGUUCACUUUUUUUGUAGCGGGAAAGGAGGUGCUAAGACACUUAUGAACA